rnacentral:tRNA from 2 species
GCCCCCAUAGCUCAAAUGGAUAGAGCAGCGGUUUCCUAAACCGUUGAUUCCCGUUCAAUUCGGGAUGGGGGUACCA